rfam:Ensifer sp. Root278 contig_7, whole genome shotgun sequence.
CAGGCAUGCUGGAGCUCCGCAGCGGCGCCUGGGCGUGGAAGCCAGCCUUCCAAAGCGAGACUGUUCGCCGCCCGACACCGUAACUUCCACCGGAGCUUAA